CCUACGGGUGGCAGCAGUGAGGAAUAUUGGUCAAUGGGCGCAAGCCUGAACCAGCCAAGUCGCGUGAGGGAUGAAGGUCCUAUGGAUUGUAAACCUCUUUUGUCGGGGAGUAAGGCCCACCACGGGUGGCUGUAAGUAGAACACCCCAAGACAAAGCAUCGGAUACCUCCUUGCCAGCACCCGCGGUAAUAGGGAGGAUGCGAGCGUUAUCCGGAGUUUUUGGGUUUAAGGGGUGCGUGGUGGGAAGGUUAAGUCAGUGGUCAAGUGUGUGUGCUAACCACCGGCCGGCCGUUGAUACUGGUCUUCUUGAGUGAGCGAGACGUAUGCGGAAUGCGUGGUGUAGCGGUGAAAUGCAUAGAUAUCACGCAGAACUCCGAUUGCGAAGGCAGCAUACCGGCGCUCAACUGACGCUGAGGCACGAAAGCGUGGGGAUCGAACAGGAGUAGAUACCCGAGUAGUC
rnacentral:rRNA from 1 species